GACGUAGGGCGCAAGCGUUAUCCGGAAUUAUUGGGCGUAAAGAGCUCGUAGGCGGUCUGUCGCGUCGGUCGUGAAAACUUGGGGCUUAACCCUGAGCUUGCGGUCGAUACGGGCAUGACUGGAGUUCGGUAGGGGAGACUGGAAUUCCUGGUGUAGCGGUGAAAUGCGCAGAUAUCAGGAGGAACACCGGUGGCGAAGGCGGGUCUCUGGGCCGAUACUGACGCUGAGGAGCGAAAGCGUGGGGAGCAAACAGG
rnacentral:rRNA from 1 species